UACGUAGGGAGCAAGCGUUGUCCGGAAUCAUUGGGCGUAAAGCGCGCGUAGGCGGCCUCAUAAGUCCGUUGUGAAAGUCAAAGGCUCAACCUUUGAAAGCCGAUGGAUACUGUGAGGCUAGAGUCCGGAAGAGGCGAGUGGAAUUCCUGGUGUAGCGGUGGAAUGCGCAGAUAUCAGGAGGAACACCAAUAGCGAAGGCAGCUCGCUGGGACGGUACUGACGCUAAGGCGCGAAAGCUAGGGGAGCAAACGGG
rnacentral:rRNA from 1 species